ACAGCUUUGAAUGUCAUCAUACACUCUCUCCGUUUCCCUUCCGAAUCGUUUUUCCCCUCAUGCACUGGAAACUGUUGGAAGGGAAUCGGGUGGAGUGCAUCAUGAUCUGCAAGCUCCGAC
rnacentral:pre_miRNA from 1 species